rnacentral:rRNA from 1 species
AUACAGAGGAUGCGAGCGUUGAUCGGAAUUACUGGGCGUAAAGCGCGCGUAGGCGGUCUAUUAAGUCAGAUGUGAAAUCCCAGGGCUCAACCUUGGAACUGCAUCUGAUACUGGUAGACUAGAGUUUUGGAGAGGGAAGUAGAAUUUCAGGUGUAGCGGUGAAAUGCAUAGAGAUCUGAAGGAAUACCAGUGGCGAAGGCGACUUCCUGGCCAAAAACUGACGCUGAGGUGCGAAAGCGUGGGUAGCAAACGGGAUUAGAUACCCUAGUAGUCC